UGCCAAUGAUGCAUUUAAAUGCACGUAUUAUCAGAUACAAGUAUGAUGAUAUGUGAUUGUCACUACCUCUGAGGCA